rnacentral:rRNA from 1 species
UACGUAGGGUGCGAGCGUUAAUCGGAAUUACUGGGCGUAAAGCGUGCGCAGGCGGUCUGUUAAGACCGAUGUGAAAUCCCCGGGCUCAACCUGGGAACUGCAUUUGUGACUGCAUCGCUGGAGUGCGGGCAGAGGGGGAUGGAAUUCCGCGUGUAGCAGUGAAAUGCGUAGAUAUGCGGAGGACACCGAUGGCGAAGGCAGGUCUCUGGGCAUUAACUGACGCUGAGGAGCGAAAGCAUGGGGAGCGAACAGG